rnacentral:rRNA from 2 species
GAAUGAACUUAAGAGUUUGAUCCUGGCUCAGAACGAACGCUGGCGGCAUGCCUAACACAUGCAAGUCGAACGGGAUCCAUUGCUUCGGUGAUGGUGAGAGUGGCGCACGGGUGAGUAACGCGUGGGAACCUGCCAAUGAGUACGGAAUAACGGUUGGAAACGGCCGCUAAUACCGUAUACGCCCUACGGGGGAAAGAUUUAUCGCUCAUUGAGGGUCCCGCGUCCGAUUAGCUAGUUGGUGAGGUAAAGGCUCACCAAGGCGACGAUCGGUAGCUGGUCUGAGAGGAUGAUCAGCCACACUGGGACUGAGACACGGCCCAGACUCCUACGGGAGGCAGCAGUGGGGA